rnacentral:lncRNA from 1 species
CCAGGUCCCACAGUCUGAGGGACCCAUCCUUAGUGGGUGGGGGUGAGCUAGGGUGGGGCCUGGCUGACGAUACGACAGUGUUGAUGGCCUUUUCUGCUUUCACAUCUCGAAGCUUGGACAAGUGAUGAACUUGGGGAAUGUUUGCUCAAUGAACACAGAUUUUAUGGGACUAAGUUGAAAUGCACCCCCCACCCCUUACUCCAUACUCUGACUCACAGGACCCCAAGGCUCCUCAGGCUCUCUGGAGCAGGUGGAAAGAACCCAUGGCUCUUCAGUCUCGAAUCCCCGUCUCUCUGCUGCCCCCUAGUGGACAUUGACGGCGCUGUCCUGAGGGAAGACUAGGUGUUUAACUUGGUGUGUUCGUGUGUUCAGAAAGGUAAUUUCUUCCUUUAGACUUCAAAGCAAGUUUGCCCUAGUUCCCGUGUGGCUCAGCAGGUUAAGGAUCCGGCAAUUGUCACUGCAGUGACUCGGGUCGAUCCCUGGCCCUGGGAACUUCCACAUGCCGCAGGAGCAGCCAAAAAAACAAACAAAAAACCAAAGGAAG